GUAUUUAUGAGCCGCCAUUUCUUGUACUAUAGUGAACCUACCUUGGAUGUGAAGAUUGCCUUUUGUCAGGGAUUUGAUAAACAAGUGGAUGUGUCAUAUAUCUCCAAGCAUUACAACAUGAGCAAAAGCAAAGUUGACAACCAGUUCUACAGUGUGGAAGUGGGAGAUUCGACUUUCACAGUUCUUAAGCGCUACCAGAACCUAAAGCCUAUUGGCUCUGGGGCACAGGGCAUAGUUUGCGCUGCCUAUGACGCUGUCCUUGACCGAAAUGUGGCCAUUAAGAAGCUCAGCCGACCGUUCCAGAAUCAAACCCACGCCAAGAGGGCUUACCGGGAGCUGGUCCUCAUGAAAUGCGUCAAUCAUAAAAACAUUAUCAGUUUAUUAAAUGUCUUCACACCCCAGAAGUCACUUGAGGAGUUCCAAGAUGUGUAUCUGGUAAUGGAGUUGAUGGACGCCAACUUGUGUCAAGUCAUUCAGAUGGAACUGGACCAUGAGAGAAUGUCUUACCUUCUCUACCAAAUGCUAUGUGGUAUCAAGCACCUUCACUCUGCCGGGAUCAUUCACAGGGAUUUAAAGCCCAGCAACAUCGUGGUCAAGUCAGACUGCACGCUGAAGAUUCUGGACUUCGGACUGGCCAGAACUGCAGGCACGAGCUUCAUGAUGACUCCUUACGUGGUGACCCGCUAUUACAGAGCACCGGAGGUCAUCUUGGGAAUGGGCUACAAGGAAAACGUGGAUAUAUGGUCUGUGGGAUGCAUUAUGGGAGAAAUGGUUCGUCACAAAAUCCUCUUUCCAGGAAGGGACUAUAUCGACCAGUGGAACAAAGUCAUUGAACAACUAGGAACACCUUGCCCAGAGUUUAUGAAGAAAUUGCAACCCACAGUGAGAAAUUAUGUUGAGAACAGGCCUAAGUAUGCAGGUCUGACUUUCCCCAAGCUCUUUCCAGACUCUCUCUUCCCAGCUGAUUCAGAGCACAAUAAACUCAAAGCCAGCCAAGCGCGGGAUCUUCUGUCCAAGAUGCUGGUGAUUGACCCAGCCAAAAGGAUAUCGGUGGAUGAAGCUCUGCAACACCCGUACAUCAAUGUCUGGUACGACCCUGCGGAAGUGGAAGCGCCUCCUCCACAGAUAUACGAUAAACAGCUGGAUGAAAGAGAACACACCAUCGAGGAGUGGAAAGAACUUAUCUACAAGGAAGUAAUGAAUUCUGAAGAAAAGACUAAAAAUGGCGUAGUUAAAGGACAGCCUUCUCCUUCAGGUGCAGCAGUGAACAGCAGCGAGAGCCUCCCCCCAUCCUCGUCCGUCAACGACAUCUCCUCCAUGUCCACUGACCAAACCUUGGCGUCCGACACCGACAGCAGCUUGGAAGCGUCCGCGGGCCCCCUGGGGUGUUGCAGGUGACUGGCCGCCUGCCUGCGGAACCCGACCUUCUUCAGCCGGUGACGCCGCUGAUGCCAAUCACGCUAUUUCGGGAGGGAGGGACGGGAGGGGGGGAUAUUUAAAAAAGUUGGGGGAAAAGAAAAAGGAUAUCCAGAAAGGAAGCGAAACACCAUCUAAAAGUGAAAUCAACCUUUCCUCCCGCUUCUCCUCCAGAGUUAUGUAUCGCAGCUAAGCUCAAGCGUAUAUUUAACUUUGAGUUGUUCUGCUUUGGCCUUCCUCUAUUGAUGGUUCCUGCAGAAAACAAAACACAAAAGAGCCCCCCAACCCCGUUUGUUUGUUUUUCUUCACCGAGUGUAAAUUUAAAGGCCGCAAACCCAACAGCUUGCGGCGGCCACUCAUUGGCAUGACAGGGUAUGCAAAAACCCUUGAAGCGUGUGUGUAUGUGUCUCUAUCUUCAGCCAACUGCUCCUUCCGGCCCGGUCAGGUGAAUGUAGAUCCAGACCCGCAUGUGUCUGUAUAUGAGCACAGCACAUUUACUUGUAGAGAAUCCAGUACCCUCGGUAGUAGGCACUGUAGUUUAACUGACCCAUUUUAUGUCAACUACUACUAUAUCAUAAAUCCAUCUGUAAUAUAUUGCCAGUAUACAAGCUGUUUAGUUUGUUAAUCGAUUAAGUUGUAUGUCUUAUAAGAAAAUUUGUAAAAGGAAAAAAAAGUUGUGAGUAAGCUCUCUCGGACCCUUGAAGCUGUAGUCCCCACCCCCUCCAUUUCAGCGAUUAAAAGCCUGUACUGAGCCCGGUCUGCGGAGAAGAUGUGUGUGGUGACCUCGGAUGGGGAAGCCAUGUUCCUCAGUUGCCGUGGAUUGUGGGAGAGGGGAUGUAGGAGACUGGUGUGGGGCAGGCCGGCGGGAAACCAGUUCUUGUCUUAGCCAAGGUCCUUGGCCUGUGGAGCCACCGCCAUGCCUUCUGGAAUGCAGGAUGGAGAGUGGCCGGUGGUGCCGGCAGAGGUGAGUGUGGCCGGAGUCACCGGAAGGGUCUCCUCUCAGCUGGGGCCAAGGAGUUCAUCUACCUGUUCUUACCCAGGGGCUCCGCGACCAAGAAUCCAAUUCCCUUCUGGCCAUUUCCUCAGAAAUGCACCGAUACCCAUCCUUCCCCAAGACUGCUCUCCUCCCCUCACUUCAUUCCCCCCACCGUCCACUUCUCAGAGAGUCCUGAGAAGUAGUAAGGUCUGGGAGCAGGAUUUGGGUUUCAAGUCCAAAAGAGCUGGGCUUCACCCUGCAGGACUGAAAGCCGUACCAAAGGAAACAAACGGCAGGCGUCCAUCCCGUGGGUCUUGACAUUUCGGAUCUGAGAAUGCCCAAGGAGGCGUUGUUUUUCCUGGAUGCCCUCACUGUCUCCCAUUUUGGCUAAACUCCUUUUGCGUACAUUUGACAGGUCCGAGAAAGGCGUGGCCGAUUUUCUAGAAGUCUGGGCCCAGCAGGAAACGGCGACCACAGCCGAUGAGGUACCGGUGAAGUAGGUUUAGCAAUAUUAGCUCUUCCUAAAAGCCAUGGAGGAUCACUGCCAAUGUUAAGCGAUAUCACUUUAAACAACCUAAAUGGAAUGUAAGUGCUUGGGAAAGUCUUUUCACAGACCCCGUGAGGAAGUGUCACUUAGGGGUUUUCACCGCAAUAAUAGGGAGGGAGGGUGACUUAGCAAUAAUAGCCUAUCCCAACCUUAGACUCCCCCAUCCCAUACUAGUGCCCGAUGCCCCACUGUUCAAACGUACUUUAACCGUUUUUUGCGUGCUUAGCUGUACGCGAUGCUAUUUUAACUUGGAAAAAAGAAGCCUCUUGCAGUGAGGGAUGACCAGACGAGUGAGACAGCCAAGAGAGAUUGUUCGGGGAGAAGAGAAAAACAAAAGCAUCCACCUGACUCUCCACCCUCUAGAAAUGAUGAUAGCUCUGCCUCUUUGUUUUUUAGCACUUGCAGGGCUCGAGAGCAUUCUUCUGUCUGAUCUUUCGGGGCAGGAGACACCUCCAGAGUGAGAUGUGGCAACUUGGGGUUUGGUGAGGUGGCUACUUGGCUCCAUUGUCUUGUUAGGGCCAGCAGAUAAGUACUAAUCUAGAUGGGAGGGAGGAAUAGGAUGGACCCUUCCUGACCAAAGCUCCACAUCUGGUCUUGAUGUCUUUUGUCAUCAGAAAAGACUCUCCCUACUCCUGUUCUUGCUCUCUUGCUUCCUCCCUCUCUCUCUCUCCCUCUCUCUUCUUCCUCUCUUCCUCUUUCCUUCUCUUUCUCUCAUUCUCUCUCAUCUCCCUUGCUUUCCUUUCCUAGGGUCCCCUAUGCUACCCUUAAUCGCACUUAGCCCAUCAUCCCUUUGGCUUUCCCAUUUCACAUCUUUCCCAGCGCCAAUCCAGAGCUCAGCAAACAGCCUUUAGAGUGGAGGUUGCUGAAGGAAGGCAAUGGAUGUUUCCUUCCCUUCAAGUGCUGUCACCUCUUUCUCCUCCUGCUUUGACAAACUGGUCUCUCCAGGUAACCUUUAUCAGGGAAAAACAACUAGCCAACUCAUCCUAGAAGCAACCCUGGUGAAGCUACUCUUCUGGAGGGGAACGGAUGGGCCCCUGAAGGAAAACUUUAAUUUUUGAUCUGGACUCAUCUGUCACCUCCAAGAGUGAAUUAUUCCACCUCCUGGCAUUCCCAGCAUUUCCAGUGGCAUCACAUCAUCUGCUGAGGACGUGCACCAGGAGAAGCUCUCCAUCGACUGUUUGCCUCGCCUCGACCAUCUAUCCCGUCACGAGACCCACCUGGAGUUUCUCCCAAUUGGACUCGGGCCAAUAUUCCCGGCCCCACAGACUGCCAAGUAUCCGUGUUGAUCGAGUAGUUUCGAAAGACAAAACCGAACGUGGCCAUCUCACGGAACCGCCCCGCGGAUCUCCCAGCAGGCCGGAAUGGGAGACAUAGGAGGUGGGGGCACCGCCACCACUCUCCGAGCCGCGGGGCCCGGGCUCGGCCUUUCCGGGUUCGUGCGGGGAGAAGGAGGGACUUGGGUUUCUGCCAUCUGCUCUUUGUAGGUCGAUGUUGAGUCGAUGCAUUGUGAUUUGUUUGUUUUGGGUUAUUAAACGGUGGGGGGAUGUGCUUCCCCUCGACCUGAACCGAGAUCAAACCUGAA